rnacentral:tRNA from 1 species
GGGGUUGUAGCUCAGUGGUAGAGCGCUCGUCUGGCACAUGUGAGGCCCUGGGUUUGAUUCUCAGCACCA